CAGCAAAUGUCAAAAUGGACACUGUAACAGAGUAAGUAUCAAAUAACAAGGUUUGCAGGGAUAACGAGGGCUAUUUUACAAGGUUUGCAGGGACAACGAGGGUUAUUUUAUCAAUACAUUACUGUGGAUUCAUUUAUUUUCGUCGGUAUCAAUUUUCGUGGAUUGAUGAGAACUUGCAUCUUCGAGAUUUUGCAUACAAAGUCUAUUGAAAAUAUGUUAUUCGCUGAAUAUUUGAAUUCGUGGUUCACUUGUACUCAAUAAACUCAGGAAAAUUGGUAUCCAUCGAAUAAUAAUGAAUCCACAGUAAGAAUGAAUAAACUCAUCAUAUAUACCAAGACUGAGAUUUUGUAUUUGAGCCAGAUGUGCGUUUCUUCUACAAAAGACUCAUCCUAACUAUUUAUAGUUAAUAAAAGAUUAAUGUCGAGAGGAAUGUUAAAGAAAAAACAUUUUCUGUAAUUCAAAUCUUGAAACGGAUUGACUGCUCAUUAUUUAGAGAUAAUUGUAAAUUUUCCAAAUUAUCAGUUACGUGCAAUUAACAAAACGUUUACGCCUGUCAGAGCCAUUGGCACAUUUUUUGAGAGAAAAAAAAAUAAUAAUGUAUUCCGAUUCACGAACUCGGAAUUAUUUGCUUUAAAAAUAAAAGACUGUAAAUUGUUGAAACAGUUAGAAAUAGAUAGUGUAAUUACAUAAGAGAAGUUUCUGAAUAGUGUUGUUAAUUUUGAUAUGUGAAUCCGUUUAUUUUGGUUAAUAAUGACAUUUUAUAAUUAUGUGGCUUAAAUUAUGUAUAAAUGCAUAAAACGGUAAAUAGAAAUUUCCAACAUUUUAGACCGUUCAACAGACCACACAAACCACCGAUGUCUUACUCCGCAGAGAAGUAAUCCGUACAAACAAAGAUUAACAACAAUGAACACGUGGUCCAUGUAGACCUUUUCUGGCUUAAACCCAAACUAUUGUGUAAAUAAAUAAGUUGUUAAUAAAAGAGGGACGAAAGAUACCAAAGGGACAGUCAAACUCAUAAAUCUAAAACAAACUGACAACGCCAUGGCUAAAAUGAAAAGACAAACAAACAACAGCACACGACAACAUAGAAAACUAAGAAUAAACAACACGAACCCACCAAAAAACUAGGGGUGAUCUCAGGUGCUCCGGAAGGGUUUAGCAGAUCCUGCUCCACAUGUGGCACCCGUCGUGUUGCUUAUGUGAUAUCAAAUCCGGUAAAAAGUCUAAUUCGGUAGGUCACAUUCAUGAAAGGGAAGGGAUUGUAGUUACGACGUAAGGAACAAUCCGAUAUCAUUUGUGAAACGUUAUUCCAUAACGGUCAACCAACUCGUGAUGCGUCCGUAAAAUUUACGAAGGAUGAUUUCAACUUCAACAUUUGGAACUCUUGGUUUAAUAGUUCCUUGUGAGCAGCAACCCUCUAUCAAGAAAAUCAUGAUAGGAAAUGCAAGCACGGGAAUAUCGUAUCAAUUGGGAGAUAUAUACCCCGUAUGCAGGUGCUGCUGGAAUGUUGCUACUUAGAAAUGGAAAGUUCACAAUUGGAAAGCUGAAAUCAUCUCUUUUGUCGUAAAGUUUUGUUUUCAACCAACCCUCAUUGUCAAUUUCUAGAUGUAAGUCAAGAUAUGAGGCCGACUUAACUGUAUCUGUAGUAUCCUUUAUCUCUAGCUCGAUUGGAUAAUAAACCUCUGCUUUUAAAAAAGUAUAUUAACCAGUUAUCGUCAAACUUUGGUAUAAAUACAUAUAUUUGGUGAAUUGUUUUAUAGAUUAUAUCUAAUACAAGGAACAUAAUUGAAGAAAGUAACGGUUUACAUAUUAGCAUAUUGAACAUGACACCAAGUUUAAUGGCUUUGACGACAUAACACGAGUAUGGAAGUAUGUGGGUUUACCCUUCUGGGAUAAUUGAUUUUAUUCCUUGUUCGAUCAGAGGAAAAGUCAAUCAGUAGUUUCUGUUUCUGCGAUUCACUGAAUAUAUUGUUGUUACAUUUCAGGAAACUGUGCAGUGAUCGUUCUAUAAAGAGAUGUCCUUAUCAGAAUUCAUAUGAAGCAUCAGAAGACUCAAAGUUUCUCCAUUAAAUGGAAGGAUCAAUUGAAAUACCUUGUCAUCUAUCACGGCUUCACAAACAUGUAAAUUUAUAACAGAUAUGCUUUCUGAAAAUAUCACAUUUAUUUUAUCUAUUUAUGUUUGUGAUGUUUAAUGUCAUUAUGACUGUUAAAUAAAUUGUG
rnacentral:lncRNA from 1 species